UCAGCCUCGAGAAGAGAAGGCUCCAGGGAGACUUUAUAGCAGCCUUCCAGUACCUAAAGGGGGCCUACAAGAAAACUGGAGAGGGACUGUUUAUCAGGGAGUGUAGUGAUAGGACAAGGGGUAAUGGGUGUAAAAUGAAGGAGGGUAACUUUAGAUUAGACAUUAGGAAGAAAUUCUUCACUGUGAGGGUGGUGAGGCCCUGGAACAGGUUGCCCAGAGAGGUUGUGGAUGCCCCAUCCCUGGAAGUGUUCAAGGCCAGGUUGGAUGGGGCUUUGGGCAACCUGGGCUAGCAGAGGGUGUCCCUGCCCAUGGCAGGGGGGUUGGACUAAAUGAGGACUAGAUGAUCUUUAAUGUUCCCUUCCAACCCAAGCUAUCCUAUGAUUCUAUGUGAAACUCCUCACUGAAGCAGUUGCGAUCCCAGCUGUAAGGCUGCCUGGUAAGAUGCACAGUGCAGCCAAAAAGUCUGAAUUACCAUGGGCUAUGUUAACUUUAAUUUAGUGCACAAGGAGGCUACUUUCAAUCAAAAGUACAAGCAGAUUCUUCCAAAACAGAAGAGAGAAGUGUAUACAAGAUCCAGUCUUAUCGUUGUCAGUCCCUGGAACAGCAGCAAAGUACAGGGAACGUUGUUAAAUGGGUAAGACAGGUAUUUAGGUGAAAGCUCAGCGUAUCAUCUCUCCAGGAGCAUUACCAAGAGCAAAAUUUAGGACGUGUCCAGUUUCAUGGUCGAAAGCAACAUUAAACGGAGCCCCGUUAACAACGUGUGGUGUCACUCCAGACCGAUCGGGAACCGCCCUCAGUCCCUGCAGCCGUAAAGACAGGCGGGAUCUCCACAGAAAGCAACUGCACCCACACAAGCCAGGCCUCAGACCCGCCGCCGCCGUGGGCUGCGUUGGGCGCAGCGGGAGGCGUGGUCAGGCCCCGGGCCCCGCCCCUCACCAGCGCCCGGGCUCCGGCUCCUCCAGGCAGCGCCAGCAGCUCCAGCGUCUGCGGGGCCAGGCGGGGGCCCCAGGGCCGCGAGCCGGCAGCCCCCGCCGGCGGGGCGCUCAUGGCGGGCCGGGCCCGCCCUCCGCCGCGGCCGCUGCGGGACGCGGUCCGCGGAACCAUGGCAACCGGCCCCGCCCACAGCCCUGUACGCAGCGCCGGUCGGGGCAGUGAAGAUGCGUCACUUCCGCGGGCGGCAGGACGUGGUGUAUGACGCUGAGUUUGGCGCCGCAGUUGGGGUUGGGUCCGUCGGUGGCUCUGCGGCUUCCCCGGCCGCGCCGUCCUCUCGCUGAGGCAUCGCCUCAUCCCGCCGGCCCCUGCCUGCCCGCUGGACGGGCGCACCGCCAGCCCCGCCACCGGCCCUCGCCCCGCCACGGCCCACAUCGAUGCUGCUGUCCUCAGCAGUUGCUGAGCGGGCCGCCCGCCCGCCUCGGGCAAACCGCGAUGGCCGGUUCACCCUCGAAAACCUCCACAAAUAAUCUCACUCCCUUCUAGAUAUUUUUCUCAUUUACCUACUUCAGUCACCUCUUCCCCACCUUCAGCCAACAUCCUUACCGUUAGGAGCAUCUGGCUAACUUGAGACUUCCUGGUUAAGCAAAAAAUGCUGUUAAGUUGAAAAUGUAAAUGGUUAGGUCCUCACUGAAGACUAACUAUCUGAGGAGAGUUCAUGCACUCCAGGAGCAUUGCUGUUUCACUGGCCGGGGCUCCUCUCUGUGCAGGGAACGCUGUGGCACCACAAGUGAGAGACUGGGCUGCUGCAUCAGCACCGCUCCUUCUCGCCAUGGCUUUCCACUCAGCUUGGAUGAACUUGACCUCUAAGGAACUGAUGGUUACAGUUGCACAUAACAUCUUUUUAAAACAAGGUACCCUUUUAUUGCUUAACUAAAGCACAGUAUUUAAGGUCCAUUAUGGUGCCGCAGUUGGAACAACAAAGCUGUGGCUUUUGUGAUGUGCCUGUUCCUCUCUUUGGCCUGGAAAUGUUCCAUUUCAGUGAUGGGAUGGAACUGGCAAUGCACAAUAAAGCUCCUCUCCCCUUCCAGCUACCUCAGGUUUUUGCUUCAGAUUCUAAUUGUGAACAUUUUACACAUUCAGUCUCCUUUGACUGAAGUCAUCAAGAGUUAAUGUCGGCUCAUUAAUUUCUGAGUCUCCAAGGUAACCAUGUUCAUGUGCUAACAGUUCUUGAGAGAGUUUUUCUUGCAACCUAAAAUCUCUUAGUCCUGUAUUUCGGAGAAACAAUUUUCUAAGUUAGAGUGGGUCACAAUACAAGUAUGACGAUUAAAACCAUACACAUUUCCUAUUUUUCCUCAUUAUCUGAGCCAUGUUUGUUGACCUGAGAGAAAUACAAUAUAUCUAUUUUAUUCUCACUGGCUUUGUUGGAAAAAGUGAACGGAUCUUCAGGCAUAUCGAUCCUUCUGCAAAUCUGAUAAAGCAGGGCAAACUUCAUAAGAGAGAGUUGCUCUUUGUUUAAAUGAAUUGUACUAAUUCCUUGGACAAUUUGGAAGAAAAAAGUGCAGCAUUUUAGGAAGAGAGCUGCAUUUGUAGGUGGGAGAGAAUGACAGAUCAUAAACCCCCAGGAAACAGAGAUAAAUGGGACAAAGAAGUGGGAGAGAUUUGAUGGCACAUUAAGAUCAAAAUUUUUACCAAGCUAUUGCUCUACUGGUAUCAUUAAACCAUAAUGGUCUUCACAUUCAUAGGCCAUCCUUAUUUCACCAUGCUACUACGAGUAUUUUGUUACCAGAAUCCUUUCGUAAAAUUAUUUGCAAUUAUGUCAUAUCUGAAAGCCAAGGCUGUGAGUCAAGACUAAAUUUAUUCAUUGCCAGUUUGUAUCCACUUCUUUUUUGGCCAACACUGUCCUUUAACUUAACGAGCUCUUCUCACUUUCUAGUAUUUAAUCUGUGAUUUAUUUAUAGAGAUCCCUUCUCAACUUUCAUUAGAUAACGCAAGCCAAGAACAGUUAGUCUCCUCUCGUUAGACAGUCGCCAGUGCCCUGAUCAUUUUAAUUCCUCUGUGCUCACAUUCCAGUCAAAAUUCAACCUCCUUAAGCUGUGUUGACCAGAAAUGUGUACGGUGUUCCAGAGGAAGUCUCACAAGUCCUUUCUACAGGAAAUACUUAUUUCGGAUAUGUUCUCACCUGCUGUGUUCCAGGAUCCUGUUUGUCCUUUUGAAAGCUACAUCACAUCAGAAACUACAGUGGUUCUGCAGUUGAAAAGCAUGUGUGGGGCUUUCUCCUGUCCUGGUGGUUUCCCACAGAUGAGAUUCUGCUAGUAACAGAAAUACUGACCUGCCACCAGGCGGAUGAUCUUUCAUUUGCACUGUUGAAUUUCAUUUAAUCACAUAAGCAAUUACAUCUCUAUAGUCUGCAAAAGUUUCCCAUAUGAUGUUUCAAAAAUCUUUAUUGUAAAAAUGCUGCUCAGCUCUGAGUCAUUAGUCAAAGUUAAUAGCACACUAAGUGCCAGUGUAAUUAAUGAAAAUAUUAAAGCCAGUUCCAAGACAGAUCUUUGAAGAACUCCACUGGCAAGUUUCUUUCAGUGUAACAGCUCCUUUGAAUUAUCUUCAGUUGUCUCUCCCCUAGCCAGGCCCAUCGCCACCUUUUAUUUCUUGUUCUAAUCCCAUCUUCAUUGGUUUGGUAAUGCCUCCUACUAUGCAGUAUUGGAAACUUUAUUUAGAUACAGCAAGAUUAGAUAUACUAAAUUUCCUGUAGUAACUUUAUAUCAAAUUCAGACAGACAUCCACAAAAACCUCUGUUCAGUUGAGGGGGCCCAGGUCUGAUAUAGUAACCUGAUUAUAUUUGGGAUUCUUUCUCCGAAUUGCUAAUUGCUAACGAUUAAUUUUCAUAAAAUCGUGCUGGCAUGUAAAUCACAACUUGAAGAAUGUUUAUAUUUGCGUGUGUGGAUAAUGUAACUCUUACAACUAGUGCUUCUUUAUAACAAUUUUAAUGUCUCAAUUACACUUGAAUAAGUACUGAAACUCUGAAAUUGCUACAAUACUAUUUUAAAAUGUCUGUAGCUACUCACUCAAAGCAUCAGGAACACUACUUCGUAUUUCAGGCUAACCAAAUCGAGUUAGAAUUCCGUUCUGAUUGGAGUUACUGGUAUAAAUCCACUAACUGGAGUGUAGCUGUUCCUGACUUCUUCCAGUGAAAAUUACUUCAGGUUUGUGCUUAUUGUUAUAAAUGCUCUUCUAAAUUAUCUCUUGCUAUAUUAGAACUUUGAAAAUGUCAAAUCUGAAAAAUAAUUCCAUAUUGUACAUUUAGGUAUGGAAAACUAGGUUAGGAAAGGUUUAAUUAUUUACACAGAGUAGGAGGACAUCAGUCAGGAUGAAUUGCUGUCAUCCCUCCUCUUUAAUGGCUCUACCUGUGUUAUUUUUUCUCGUUAGACAGUGGAGUUAAAUAGCUGUGAUCCAACCUUGCCGUAACAGUUAGCUCUGUGCUAUACGGAUGGAAACAGAGCAGGUUUUUAAUUGUGAUGAAGUAAGUUCUCUCCCUACGUUUCAUCAGGGCUGGGACAAGACUUGCUGAGCUGGUUAUGUAGCACGUAACCACAGCCCUUUCCCACAGGAAGGACUCGGCAGUGGAACAACAAAGCUGGUUAAUGUAAUUACAUGCUAUUCCAUGACUCUCAAAACAUGAACGGGAAGUGUGGUUUUCUGUGACACUCGCCUCUCUGUGUGAAGUGGUGAUUCCUCCUUUUGCUGCUUGCUGAUGGCAGAAAGGUGGGGAAAGGUGUGCGUUGCAAGGUUGCGGAGGAUAGAGGGGAUGACACUUCCCAUUCAAUCAGUCUGUUUCCAAAGCCUUUCCGUUGCAAGGCCACACAUGGAAGUGCUGGCUACUUGCUACCUCCUCGGAGUAUGUUUUCUCUUCAAGAGUAGGCAGUAUUGCACCUUCUUUUCUACCACAGUUAUUUCAUGCUACAGUUUUUAUCAAGAUUAAUCUAUUAAUAAUAUUUCCUGUAAUUGUGAGUGGCAAUUUCCUGCUUCUGGUAUUUUUGUAUUGCCCACUUCCCCUACUUCCUUCAAGCUCUGUCCUUGUCAGAACUCUGCUCUGCUCUUGGUAUUAGCCAAAAUACCCACUUUCCUCAACCCUAAAUUUGCCAUUAACUAACAUGAAAGGAAGAGAAGGUGACUAUUUAAUUUCCUAUAACUGAUAACAAACUAUAGACAGUGCAAACACUUUUAUAUCUUGUAAGGUUUAUUAAAAUAGAGAUGAUAACCCUUUCUAAAUGUCAAAUACAUUAUAAAGCUUGUUUACAUCACAUUAUUACAACUAGUGGUUUCUUUUUUUUCAGAGGAAACAGCAUUGUAGAUCCCUUUUUUUCUGGUAGCAUCUCAAAGCUCUAUGCAAAAUGACCCCCACAAAUGCCAUCUACACUUCUGAGUAGAAAUGAGAGACUUGACCUGCGUCAUCGCUCGCAUAUAGAGGCUCACUUACCAAGUGGGAUACCACCUGAGACCUUGAGAUAUGAGCAAAUAUCUAUAUUUAUCACCAACAGCCCUUUUUCCACAAACUCUUGCCACAUGAUGUCAUACUCUGGGUUCCAUCUCUAAUGACUAGGGCACCCAUACAGUGAGUAAGAUUUUAAUAAGAUCUUAACAUGACAGUAUAGCAGAAGUUGAACAACAAAUUGUGAGGCAAAGCUCUCCAAGACACAGCCCUGGUUUUAUGCAGUGUAUUCACACCUCAGAAGUCAGUGUGGAUACACUUUUUCUCCUUUUUAUGUUGGUGGUACAUUUAGGGUUGGACGAAGUAGGUAGUCUAGUUAAUACCUACACUUAAGUCAUCACAAAGCAGUUGGCAUCAGGAGAAGCAAAAAGAGACUGGGAGUGGGAAAGAGCAGAACUGGUUCUUUCAGCAGUGCUGUUGGCUUGUGACAUCUGUACAGGUUCAUUAACUAUACCCCAAAUAAGUUACCUGUAACUUGGUAAUUUUAUGAAAGGAAUGGUAUGAUAUGAUCACCUGCAGGCAACAGAGGAUAAACCUGAUGAUUCAGGAAGUUCCUUCUAGUUCCAGCUUAUAUGUAUUUCUUCCCUAUAUUGGAAGAGCCUUGAUAUAUAUAUUUCUAUUUUCUAUUAAUUUUUAAAUUUUGUCCUUGAUAUACCACUUCAAAUUAUUAAUAAAAAGUAAACAUUCCAUUUUCCAAUUAUGUACAAAGAGCUAUUAAUUCAUUACAUACUUCAGCCAGAAAUAGCUUAGGUUGAAGGGCUGUUAUGUUGGCAUAAAAAAAAAAAAGCAGUGGAAAUGCUUAUUCGGUGUCAUUCAAUACACCAUUUAAGCUAACUUCUCCCUUCUUCACUAACAAAUGUUCCUGGUGAUGUAAUUAAUUUGUUCCGUCUAUGUCAAUCAUGUAUCUACUACACAUUAAAGUUAAAAGUAGUUCCACUCUCAGGCAUCUAGUUUUACGUCAGUGAAUACCACUGUUGUUCCACAGCUGUUUUUGUGAUCAUGGUUUGCCUUCUAAACAAUCUGAACAAUUCCUGGAAUGUGCAGCAUAACCAGUGAUAACAGUCACGUCAGGAGAAACUUUAACCACAGGAGAUGUUUACGCUUUAUUACUACAGAGACUGUUUCAAGAUCUAUUUUGUAUUAGCAAAGGACUGUACAUUACCCUAUAAUGAGUGAACCAGAAGCCCAGGAACAUUACUUUACGGAAGACGGUGAAAGGCAUCUCCAUACUGUGUUCUCCUUGCUUUCCAGCCCCCUCUAGUGCCUGUGAGGCCACAACACGCAGGCAAAAGUGACAGAAGUGGCAAAUGCAGGAAUAUUCUGGAAGCAAUCAAUCAGUGUGUUGUGUUGUAUGCAGGCCGCACCAAAGCAAAGUUUAGUUUUUCCUUGAAAUCGACAGCAGCUCUAUAUGCAGCUCAGAGCAACAGCGAAAACCCACCUUCUGGUAGCGAAAGGCACUAAAGGCACAACUGCCCCUGGCUUUUGUAGACACCCUUGCACUGACGACAUUCAAAUUCUUCCUUGAAAUUUCUUUUUCACAAGAAUUGUAUUCAUAGCACUUGAACAUUCCUCUCUGGAACAAUCCAUGGUUUAUGGCAUUAUUGUUAAAAUCAGAUGUCAGACAACUAAGAACAUGACCUUUUAGGUAAGUGCUGAUUUCUGGUAACUGCUAGUAUGAAAGCUGAAAACUAGCCAUGAAAUGCUUGUGCUGCAGUGGUUCAGUGGGAUUUUUGUCAGUGAUCAUCCAGAGAGACUGCAUCCCCCCAGGCCAAGUACGUGUGACUUAACUCUGGGUGCUCAGUUAUGGAAAAUGUUGGUUAUGUUACACUGUCAGUAUUUAAUAACAACAUAGGUAAAACACACCAAGGUGAGGUUCUCUUUCCAUUUACUUCACAUGGGAGGUAAUAAAUGUUAGUAGUAGCAUCCUAUUAACACUAAGACGGUGGCAUAAAUGUUUGUUCUGUCUCUCAGUUACCUAGUAACAGAUUUUGAUUGUAUUUUAACCUUGUUAGCAAGCUUUCUAUGUGCAUUUUAACUGAAAAUAUAGGAAAGACAUUGUUUAUAAAUGAAAAGAGAAUAAAAGAACAAUCUGUCUGCUACCAUUA